GCCGCGCCGCGCCGCGCUCAGCCCCGCCGCCGCCCGCCGGCUCUCGGGCUGUGCUGCGCUGCCGACUCAAGUUGGGGAUCCUCGGCUGCUUGCCGCCGCUGCCGCCGCCGCCCGCGGUCCCUGCCUGCCCCAGGCCCGGGGCAUCGCCGCCGGCCGCCGACUCCGCGCCCUGAUCGCUCGGCUCUCUCGUGUUUGAACGGAAAGCAGCCCUUCUCCACCGAGAGGAUCGUCCCCAGCGUGGCUCUGCGUUCCCGGUCACUUUUUGAGAUUUUCCGGGGGGCGCUCGGCGGCUUCCCGGAUUCCAAGGGGACUCGGGCCGCCGAGCGCGGGGGGCCCGUGGAGCGGGCGAGCCGGGGAAGCGCCCCGGCUUAGCAGAGGCUCGCACGGAGGCAAGAACUUAUUCAACAAGUUUACCCCCCUGCUUUCCUCUUUUCGAUGUGCGUUUUCGGACAUGCGGAGGUUACUGGAACCGUGUUGGUGGAUUUUGUUCGUGAAAAUCACCAGUUCCGUGCUCCAUUAUGUCGUGUGCUUCCCCGCGUUGACAGAAGGCUACGUUGGGGCCCUGCACGAGAAUAGACACGGCAGCACAGUGCAGAUCCGCAGGCGCAAGGCUUCAGGCGACCCGUACUGGGCCUACUCUGGUAAGUCCAGUUGUUCUAGUGGAGAUCACACAGGCCAGUUAACAUCCCAUUCAACUCACUUGAAAGCACACUUUGAAUCACUUUUAUGCCUGAGUUCUUUCUGUUUGCUCAAAUCUUUCGUAGUUCACCGAAAGUUGAAAUAUUCGAGCCUGUUUUUCCUGGAGGUUAUAAGUACCUUAAUUUAUCUCUACCACCUGUUUCCUCAACCUGUUUUCCCCUCAAUUUGCAUUUAUUUCUGAACUUUACUGUUAAUGAGUUAUUGUACCAAACUUGUAAUUUUCUGAAAGACGUAGUCUUGUCUUUUCUGUUUUUUCAGGGGCUGUGAUUUCAGACAGCAGAAAAUAUAUGGCUAGUCUUGAGCUGCUAAAUGUCUGCUAAACAUUACAGACAUCAGAUAUCAGAAUGCUCUAUUAGGCUCUAAGCCAAGAAAUGCAACUUUAUUUUUAAAUCACAUCUUGUUCUUUGAAUAUAUUUUAGCUGUCUACUCGAUGGUAAUCUGCAGUCCUUUUCAUUUUUAUUUUUACUUUUACCCUUUGAGCUAAUGAAGGGAGAGAGCAUUGUUCUAACUAUGUUGAAUGUUACAUUGCAAAUAAUUUUCUCACAUUUUAAGGGGACAAAAAUGAAGACCUAAAACUAGGGAUAGACUUUUCUGGAUUACGCUUCCCACAACUCCCAAAAUAUGAGAGGUGGAUUGUUAUUUCUAGAAGAGAUUUUUGAUGCUCAAAAAUAUAUGGAAAAUGUAUUAAAGCUAAUUAAGGAAUGCUUGAGUAAGAUAGACCACUUUGGAAAUUACUUUGGCACUGAAUAAUUCAAACUCCUUCUAUGAAAGAGCUUGGAGGCAUGGAGUAUUAGUCUUAAUAAUAAAUCUGUGUAUUAUGCAGUGUUGUUGCAUAUAGAACUGAAAGUAUUCUUUUCAUAAUGGUGCUCGGGUUUAAAUCCUGAAUUUCUCCCAGCAAAUCCUGUUAAAUUUGUGUCAGUGUAAAAUUUAUAGGUCUGAUCUUUAAUUAUACCUUAUCUAUUGGCUUUUUGCAUCCUUUUGUCUAUUGAUAAAUCUGCUGCCCCUGCAGGGAGAAUAUCCUAUCUGUUUUGUUUUGCAGUGAACAGAUAGUGAUUCUGAAGUCUUCCAUCACACCCAGUACCUUGUGAUUAGAAUUAUCUAAUUAGAGGCUUUUUGUCACCAUUUCUGAUAAAUGAAGGAAAUUGGCAGAUGAAAGCCAAAAUUACAUAUAUAUAUAGCAUCUUGCCAAGAAACCCAAAGAAAAUUUAUCAUUUUGUACUCUGUGCCUCUGACAUCAGUCAGGAGGAAGCACAAAGUGGCUUGCUAUUUACAGUUCAUUAAUUUAGAAUAAUAAUGCUGUUAGUCAGGAAAUUGGAAGUUAUAUCCCAUUAGCAUGUCCAAUUGCAAAUGGCAGUGAAGAGAUGAAAACCCUUAAACUUUUCCCAUUAUGUAGUUAAGAAUGACCAUAAGUGGUGCCAUCUUUGUGAUGGAGUGAUUGUUGAUGUCUUUAACAUUGGUAGACUUCAGAAGUCUCCAUUUUGUAUUUCUGGAAUGCAUUGUGUCUGAAUUUGGGUAUUGCCUCCAGUAGUAGAAGGGCUAAUAGUUCAAAUUCAAGAGUUGGCACACUUUUCCUGAAAAGAUCCAGGUAACAAACAUCAAAAGCCAUAUCGUCUUUGUUGCAACUGCCCAACUCUGCCAUUGUAGCUUAAAAGUACCCACUGACAAUUCUGGACAGACUGGCUGUGCUCUGAUAAAAAUUUACUUAUCAAAUUUACUGGAAUUUGAAUUUUAUAAUUUUCAUGUGUCAGGAAAUAUUCUUCUUUUGAUUUUUUUUCAUUCAUUAAAAAAUAUACAAACCAUUCUUGCUUUGCAGGCUGUGCAAAAACAGGUGGCUGGUUGGAUAGGGUCCACAGGUUAUACAGUUUGUGAACCCUUGUUCCAGUUGAUUUUUUUCCUAGAAAUCAGAUAGGAGAGUCAUUUGAGGAAUUGCUUGGAAGGAUGUGGACUGGUUUGGAAGACUGAAUGAAGUCAUUUGUUAGGCAUAAUGGAAAAAAUAAGAGUAAAAGAAGAAUAGAA
rnacentral:sRNA from 1 species